rnacentral:rRNA from 1 species
GAUGAACGCUGGCGGCAUGCUUUACACAUGCAAGUCGAACGGUAACAGGUUAAGCUGACGAGUGGCGAACGGGUGAGUAAUGCAUCGGAACGUGCCCGCUCGUGGGGGAUAACGCAGCGAAAGCUGCGCUAAUACCGCAUACGAUCUGAGGAUAAAAGCGGGGGACCGUAAGGCCUCGCGCGAUCGGAGCAGCCGAUGUCAGAUAAGGUAGUUGGUGGGGUAAAGGCCCACCAAGCCGACGAUCUGUAGCUGGUCUGAGAGGACGACGAGCCACACUGGGACUGAGGCGCGGCGCAGACUCCGACGGGAGGGAGCAGUGGGGAUGGGUGGGGAAGGGGGGACAGGCUGAUCCGGCAAUGCCGCGGGGGGGAAGUAGGUCUGCGGGUUGUGAACUGCUUUUGUACGGAGCGAAAAGGUCCUUUCUGAUACAAGGGGCUUAGGGCGGUACCGUAAGAAUAUGCACCGUCUAGCGACAUGCCAUGCGCCGCCGUAA